rnacentral:rRNA from 1 species
AUGCUUAGAAGAAUGUACCAAGGAGGUUCCUUGGCAAAGAAAGGACCAAGGAUUGCUAUACGUGAACAAGAUAUUAAUUUGCCAAGGGACGCAAAUGUACGGGCUUGUGAGUGGCCAUCCGAUGAUUUUAUGGUCGAAGCAGGCUUCAAGGAGGAAUUUGACGCAUAUGUGCGUAAUGCAGAGCUGGAGGACUUCUUACAAGAUAAGUGUCCUCAAUAUUAUCAAAUGACCGAUACCUUUGUGCAAAGGUUCGAGUAUAUUUCUGUGCGUAAUUCUCCUAGUGCCAUGUUUGAUAUUUAUGAUACAUCUUAUACCAUGGAUUUAGAGGACUUCACAACUGCUUGCAAACUCCCACAGUGGGGUAAUAUUAAUGAUCCUCCCAAAUCUGAAUUUAGAGAUUUUCUUGCUAAUAUUACUGUGGGAGAAUCUAGGGACGUAGCACAAGCUACCAUAGGGAGCAUUCAUUUUCCUGCUAUACAUUACUUUGCUCUCUUUAUUGGUAUAUGCAUUAACGGUAAGGACGAGGUAUGUCACAUGUGUGCCCCUGAUCUUUGUGUCCUCAAGAGUGUUGUGUCAGGUUAUAAAGGUUAUAACUUGGGGGCAACAGUUGCACGUGGUUGCAGAAUAAUAGUAGAAGGGGAGAUUUCUUUGGAGGAAUUUAUGCAACCCGUGUGGCUAAUUUUCCUAAUAUAG